GCCUGGGGAUUGAGUUUGGAUCCAGGCCCGGUUCGUACAGAACUCCCACAGGAGCCUGGAGCUUUUCCCAUGGGCCCCCAAAAUCGCAGCAGAGUUCUUUGGGAUCCUGGUCCAAAAACACAGACAGCCACGGAUGUUGCAGCGCGCGCGGCUUGUUUGGCGCCACGGCGGUCUGCUGUUAUGGCUAGCGGGGAUACCGCCAGCAGCAGCCGAACGAUGGGCAGAGCUCUGCUUCCACUCCGGUAUCGGCCCUCAUCAGCAGCAAUCAGAGCGGCCCGAUAGCGCUAUCAGCAGCUGCAUCGGAUGGAUCUCCCUGCUCUUUCCUGCCUUCUCACACUUCUUCCUACCCUCAUCAGCUUCGCUCCUCCUCUUUCUCGUCUUUCCUCCUUCUCACCUCUCUCUCUGCAUCUCCUUCUUCUCCUCCUUUACAAAAAUUCCUGCAAUCAAUGUAGUGAUUUAACUUGAAUUUCAGGAAAUUCAAAUUAAGAUGCUUAGAUUGCGUUGUAAUUUAAACUUCAUCAAGUUUUGCGUGGCGCCCUGAUGUUUGGUUGCCAGCAGAGGGUUCAAAAGCAGGUACGAGAUCUCUUUAUAAAUUUAUUUUUAUUUGUGUCCUGUCGGCAGUGUAGCACUCAGAAUUACUGUCAGAGUACCAAGCUGAACCCAACAGAUUUGCUUUCACAAGUGGAGGGUUACAGCUGUGAUGCUCUGCAUCUGGAAAGUAUUCACAGCACUUCAUUUUUACAAAGUUUUUGCUAUAAUCUUAUUCCAAAUUGUACUGAAUUGAAAUUUUUAUCAGAAUUCUAGACACAAAUCCUAAUCUUGACAACUUGGACAAACAUUUAUGUCACAUUUGUGUCAUCAUUGUGCCAGCUCUUUAGAAAGGCCCUUUAAGAAUCUACAACGUCAAUUAACUAAAGCAUAACCUAAGAAAAAUUUUAGAAAAGUUGCUAUACCCUCAUGAGGUGGCUGUGGCUGUUUCUUUAUGUUAUUUCUGGAUUCUAUUAUUUUUUUGAGUGUUAAUACAAAUUGUAUGAAAAUAAACACUUUCCUCAAAGUUUUACAUGCAAAUAUCCCGUUAUGUUAAUGUGGAAGGUUUUUUUAGUGUUUUAAAAUUGUAUUAAAAAUAGCAAACCAAGAAAUGAAAUUUGUGUAAUUAUUCAGAGCCUCCAUGAAGCUCAGGUCAGGGGUUGAGGAGUAAAAUAAAAUUGAGCUACGAUAACACAAAAAAAAGUUACCAUAUAUUCUGUCUGCUAUUUAUAAUGGUGUUAAAAUAUUUUAACAUUUCUUUCCAUUAAGUGUAAUUUCUCUAAUUUCUCCAUUACUUCUAUGUCAAAGUGAUUUACUCCUUCUGGAUGUCAUGUAAUUCCGUUUUAGCAGAUCUACGACUACAGAACUGUAAAUGAUUUCCUUGAUUGAUGAAGGUGUACAAAUCAAAUUAUGGGAAGCAGCGAUGGCUGUUUGUUAAUGAAGCAUUGUCUAUAUCCUCUGCACACAAUGCAAAACAGUUCAUUACACAAACAGAACAUGGACAGGCACAUAGCAGCAGAAUGAUGGCACAUUAAACAUGGCGGUAAAGAUUUAUAGAUAACAUUAAGCUUUUGUGUAAAUCAAAACAAUUUCCUGUUUUGCUGACAUGUUGUUAUAAGAGUGAAUUGUUGAGCUGCUGGUUAUUGUUUAGAGCUGCACAAAAUCGGCAUCAUUAAGUGCAGGAAACCACUGUUCUAUAAAAAGGCAUCUGAAUUAUGUAAAAAAAAAAAAAAACAUUUAUCACUCUAAAUAUAACUGUCUAUGGAGUAUUUAGGUUGUAUUAUUGGUGGAAAUUGUUCAACAGUGAGA